rnacentral:rRNA from 1 species
GGGGAAUUUUGGACAAUGGGGGCAACCCUGAUCCAGCCAUGCCGCGUGGGUGAAGAAGGCCUUCGGGUUGUAAAGCCCUUUUGUUGGGAAAGAAAAGCAGCCGGCCAAUACCCGGUUGUUCUGACGGUACCCAAAGAAUAAGCACCGGCUAACUCCGUGCCAGCAGCCGCGGUAAUACGGAGGGUGCAAGCGUUAUCCGGAUUUAUUGGGUUUAAAGGGUCCGUAGGCGGAUCUAUAAGUCAGUGGUGAAAGCCGACAGCUUAACUGUCGAACUGCCGUUGAUACUGUAGGUCUUGAGUAAAUUUGAAGUGGCUGGAAUAUGUAGUGUAGCGGUGAAAUGCAUAGAUAUUACUUAGAACACCAAUUGCGAAGGCAGGUCACUAAGAUUUAACUGACGCUGAUGGACGAAAGCGUGGGGAGCGAACA